rnacentral:rRNA from 1 species
GUCUAUGGCUAUGCUACCCUGAACAAGCCUGAUCUCGGAAGCUAAGCAGGGUCAGGCCUGGUUAGUACUUGAAUGGGAGACCACCUAGGAAGACCAGGUGCUGUAAGCG